rnacentral:lncRNA from 1 species
UUGCUAGAUGUACCCUCCAAGGUGUUGGCCUAUUUAGAGAGAAAAUAGAGAGACAAUUCUCACCAAUUUUCCCCCAAAUAAACCCUUAAUAUUUCCUUAAUGAAUUUUAGUUAUAAAGUCAUUUAUAUAGUCACUUCUUUAAGUGACCUAAACAACCAAAACCCUAAUUCAUUUCAUCAUGGCUGGCCAUUUAGGGAUGUUUGGGCUUUUGGGCUUUAAUGAAUCUUUAUUCAUUAAAUUGUCAUACAACUUAAGUUAAUGGGCUUGACGUUCGAAGCCCAUUGGGCCUUAAGGUCCAAAACUAUCCCGAAGUCUUUAACGAACUUUUUCGUUUGAUUAAUUAACAUAUUAAUUAAUCCUUGCCAUAAAUAAAUGAUUAAACCAUUUAAUCAUUCUUACUCAUCUCCGUUUAAUCUCCAAUCUCUACCUUACACGGUGUGCGAUCCUUUAGGUUCCUUUUAGCGAGGUAGUGGGCGAUUAAAACCAUUUUACAUCGAUUGUGAAUUGAAACUAUUUUCAAUUCUCCCUUUAGUGAUUACACACGUUUAGGGCUUCCACAAACCAUGGUUGACGCCUAGCAGCAUGUCAUGGUUACCCAAGCUAAUCAGAAGAGGUUAGAGAACCUAUUCAGUUCGGGAUUACAAAUGCAAUACGGUCUUUCUCUAAUCUAAUACUCUUGACCACAUUGUUUGGUUUGAUAGUUUAUUUUUCUCAUGUCUACUAUCCAAUGUGUGUCUUGUGCUUAUAUGAUUACCAUGAAUGUGAUUCGGAACGCAUUCCCUAAUCUCAUUCAUACUCUGAUCAGAGAUUUAAAUCAUAUCAUAGAGUAUUCUCCCUCAAACGGUUUGAAGGUUAGAGAUCCCUUGUUGCGCAUUCACUUGUUUCCAUAGCUAAGUCACUUGACCCCAACGAUGCCGUGGACACCCUCCUGAUGGAGUGACUUUGACAUAAUCAAAGAUCAAGGUCUUAACCACAAGACAACUAUGAUGCCUCAGGUCAAAGGACUACUUUGCAUUAUCCCAACCAUGAGUUCUCAUGUGACAUGGAAUAUGAGAACCCUUCGUUGAUCGCGUUCAGUGAACUCAUUCUCUAUUGAGCACCUACCGUACUUGUCUUGAUGUCACACACACCAAUGACUCGAGACUAAUCACUCUCCCUGAGAGAAGACAUAGUACGUACUGAUCUUGACGGACUGUCAACGCCCAAUUGGCAAUCCUAUGAUCAGGAACGUUUAGGAUGUGUCUACGAAAGAAUGGUCUCAUGAAUCUAACUUCAUUAGAUUACAUUCUCCCAAUCACAUAUUCCUUGGACUUUAUCGUUUAAGCAUAUAACAUUUAUAUGAGACGGCUCAAACAAUAAUUUAUGCCCUUUAUAUGUAAAACUAGAUUAGUUUAACAUGUGAAAUGUCCGUAAAGUAUCAUCACAUGGUUGGUUUUAGGGCACAUUUCCAACAAUCUCCCACUUGCACUAGAGCCAAUCAGCUUGGUCAUCUUGAUGAUACCUCUUCUGUAGUCAUUUCAUAAAUGGCUGAAUAGUAGGCCUAGACAGUGGACAUCUAUAUGUGUUAUCCAUAGAAGCAACCUUGAGAAUAACGACGUCACCAUUAUACAUGAUUCUCAAUCAUGUGGUUCAGUCUCUCAUUUGUGUUCGGAUCUUGAUGAGACCUUGAUUCCCAGGCUUAAGCUAUUGCCCCAUUAGUGUCAUACACUUUCUGGUUGGAACCGAAUAGAGAGUUCAUAAAUGAACUUUCCCAUCCAAACAACAUUGUUGUAAACUUCUAUAUGGCAAUAUAUCUUGCAUUCAUAAUGGAACACACUAAAGUCAUUACUUUAAUGUUUCCAUCCAAAUAUCUCUUUAGUCAUAAUAAAUAGAUAUCUGUUUAUCUCUUCAUUCAUAAUGAAGAAACAUACAAUGAAGGAUUAGAUUCAUAAUCUAAUACAUUUACGCUUCUAUUACGUCACUUUGAUUCUUCCUCGAUCUUUGAGGAAUUUAUCCUUUAGUAUUUCUUAAAUACUUAAGGACUCACUUGACAGAUGCCAUGGUUCUGAUCCUGGGCUUGCACUGAUAUCAUCUUGUACCGUUCUAGGUACAACUCAUAUCAAUGUUUUUCAUACAAUAUGAAAUACAUAAAUCACCUUUCUGCAUAUGCAUAAAGGAUUCAAUUUACGCAUUAUUUCUUUGGGAGUCAAAGGGUACAUUCCCUAUGAGAAGGGCAACUUGCUAGUCUCACUAGAAUCGUCCUUCUUAUUGAAGUUUAUCAUCAUAUGAGAAACUUCCUAGCAUCCAUUGUCUAUUAUUAGGGAUUGAUAUAAUCCAAUUAUAUCAUGAAAUAUAUCAUUAUAGAUUUCCAUCCCAUGUACAUAGACUAUAUCUCCCAUAUACAUUCUAUCUUCAUAUAAUGUAUUAAAGUCUUAACUUUAACGAAGAAGUAUUCUUUUCAUUUCCAAAAAUUAAUAUAUCAUAUAUAUUUAAAUUUUUAGGAACAUGAUUAACUCCCACUAAUCUUUUGUAAAACAAGUAAACAAAAGAUUCAUUUACAUCUUUAUGAGAAAUCAAACGAUUUGAUCCUUUUCUCAUAAAAUGCAAAUAGCUCCCACUAACUUGCUAAGAUCCAUGAUGGAUGGAUCUCUACAACUUAUAUGUCUUGUGAUUUAUGGUUUUAGACAUAUAUUAUCAAGACUAUCUUAAUAAUGGUUUCGGAAACCCAUAUUAUGUCCAAACAUUGAAUCACCAUUUAGUUGUAGCUAGCAAUUUUCGAAUUAAUUGAAACCAAGACUAUCUCAAAGAUAGUUUCUUCAAAGUCAACCAAUCUCUUUGAUUGUAGUCACCUUAAGCUACCAAUUAGCUAUGAAGGUUUCAUUAUUUCGAGUCAAAUGGUACUUUACCAUUUCCUUGAGUAUAUAUCGUAUAUGCACUCAAUGUAGUCAUAAGGAUUUUCAUUCUUAUUUCUUUCGAAUUAAGAGGUGCAACUCUAUGACAUAGUUAUAAAGUUCAAAACCAUUCAACUGAGACGGUUUAUAAAUCCUUAUCGACUACCUUGGAGCUUGUGGUAUAGGAACUAGGUUGUUUAUAUUUGUUGAUUACUUUCUUGUCUCUCAAAGAACCCAUUCUUUGAGUUCUAUCUCUCGUUCAUUUGCUUUUAGGCAAAUCACAUUGUAGAAUUACAAUGAACUACCCAACAAAACAACAUUUGUUAGUUGGUUUAUAGAAGCGAUAUCCAAAAGUUAUUUUAAGGAUAUCCUACAAGAUUGUUAUUAAACAAAUAUUGCUUAUUAGCACACAACCCCAAAUCUUAACAUGCUUAAGAUUUGUCUUUCUUUCCAACUACAUCUUAUGGAGUCAUGAAAAUAUUGGAAGAUCUUCUCAUUGACAAUCAUAUUGUUUUAGAAGUAUAUAUCCUAUAUAUGGGUAAUAGAUAACAUCUAACGAACUAAAUCUUAUUCAAGUUCGUUCUUCUCCUAAUGGAGAAAUACAUUAUCUUAUGAUGCUAUUUUCCUUGAUAUCUUUCAAGGAAACUCAUCUAAAGUGUUACCUUUCCUUGGAUCAAAUCUAAGGAGGUAAAUACUUUAGACGUCUUACUCAUCAACUUACAUUUCUUGAAUUCUUUGAAACAUUUUGCAAAGUAUUCGGACCUGUGUUUAUUCAAAAUAAACUAUAGUCCAACCGAGAGUGAUCUUCGGUGAAUGUUAUCCAACAUGAGUAGUAUUAUGUUUGUGGACAUGUGCCACUAACAUUUAAGUGAAUUAACCUCAACAACUUUGUGAUUCUUUCUUCUUUCCAAAAGAAUAAAGAUUCGAACAUUUCGCCUCUAUACAAUUUUAACAAGAAGGUAUUGGAUCCGGAUCUAACGAUCCAAAGCGUCCAUCUAUGACCAACUCGUAAUUUAUGUUUUAGAGGUAUCACAACUUUAGUUGCGAUUAGUCACUACCUUGCAACCUUUUGGGUUUUUAAGCAUCAUUAUUUUCUAAACAGUUAAACACUACCAUAUUAUCUCUACUAUAGAGAUAAUUAAUUAGAUUACCAUAAUCUAAUCAUUGAUUAAUAAAGAACAUUGUUUUGUCAAACAAAACAUUUAUCCAUUUCACAUAGUGACGGAAUUUAGUUCCUUAAAAUUGGAAUAUAAAGACAAUCUAUGUUUUUCCAAUUUCUUUGGUAGUUCAUAUGAGGAAGUAAGUACCAUCUGCUUUCGCAGAGAUCUACAUUUGAUUCACGCUUCGAAUGUGAAGUACUUUCUCUUCUCUCAUUAAUCUUCUACUUCUUAUUAGCCACACUUUUACAACGAUUGUAAAACAUAGUUACUAAUACGGAAUCAUGCAUUCAAGUAGAAGAACCAACUGUUUUGAACUAUUACUAUUCAAGAACAAUUUACAACACCUUCGAAAGGUGUGUCCUUGACACUUGCAAGACAUUUCUUGCAAAUACCCCUUCCAAUGUCCAUCCUUUCAUAAAGAAAGUUUGUUCCCUUGGAGUUAUUUAUCUUCUUUAUUUGACUUUCACCUUUGACUACAUUAGUCAUGGUCCCUAAACUCCCACUAUCUCUCUUGAAACCUUUUUCAAUUGUGUUAUACACAUCAAACAAUUUUGGAGAGUAUGUGGUUAUUUUUCACUAUAUAGUUUACAAUAAACUUAGUGAAUGAUUAGGAUAGGGAAACAAAGGUGAAGUCCUUGCCUAGUUUCCGUCUCGUUAAGUGGUUUAUCACUUCAACACUCAAUGAUUCAAAAUCAUCAUAAGUCCAUGUUGAUGGACUAUUUUUGUCAACCAACCAUUAUGUUCUAAACAUAAUUACAAACUUUAAAGAGUUGUACAAGGCAACUCUUAUUUCUUCACACAACAAAUUGUAAGUGAAGAAUCAUGGCACAUAAAGUGUCCAUGCCUUUGUGCUUUCUUCUCAAUUUCCUUGUUCAUGUAACAAAGAAACAAGCACUAAGUGCUUGCAUUGACUAAGGGUUGUUCAAAGCAACUCCUAUUUCUUCAUACAACAAUUUGUAAUUGAAGAAUUAUGACAUUAAAAGUGUUGUCCUCUUUAUGAUAGACCUUUUCUAACAUAUUCUUCUAAUGAUACAUUAUCAAUAGGAAGAUUGUGAGGAUGAGACUACUUUGGUACUUUUACAAGCCAUUAAAGACAAUCUAUGGUUUUGUAGUACCAAGUCCGUAAACAAAACGUUCGGCUUUUAUUUGUCAAGUGUUGGAUAGCGUUUGCAAAUAUAUUGGUAAACAAAUACAUAACGAAUAUAAAUUGAUUGAUUUUAUGCCAUUUGAUUCGGGUCUUUAAAUCAAAUAGCACCACCCACUAUUUUUGGCAAAUUCCAUAUCCCUCAUUGGAAUUCGAGAGUUUUGGAUGAAACUCCUAGUAGGUUAUGGGAGGCUCACUAUUACCAAGCCCACCUCAGAAUUAUAUAUCAUGUUGGCUAGCAUUAAUAAUAAUGAGAGAGUACGCUUACUCAUUUGCAACUAAUGCAAGUACCCAUCUUAUUUGGCCUCUAGAGAGUGAUGCCUCAGAAUUAUAUCAUGUUGGCGUCAUUGCACUUAGUUAAGUCAUUCCCACCAUGCCUAGUUCGUGUAGGGGUUCAAGCAUAGCCUCAGAAUUAUAUCAUGUUGGCUAAACUCGUUGCCUACCUCACUUCAUCAUGUAUGUAUAUAGAACUCCUCCUGAGUGCAAGCACGCACUUUGUACUCCCCCAUUAUAGGGUGAAGCCGGUGUACGAGUCACAAACGAUCGGAGCCUACCACGGUGGAAGGCCACGAAAGAGUGUUCAAAGCACUCUCCGCUUAUCAACUUAAUAUUGGUUUGGUUGAGGGUUUUAGGUCUCACCACAUAUAAACAUACAUUUUAAUCUCUAUUAAAACAAUUUUGGUCCUAUUACAACUAUUGGUCCAUCUCAUUGUUUUAGUUGUACAUAAUACUCCCACUAUGCUUUUAAAACGAUUUUUAAGCAAGAGUAUAUGAUACUACUAACAUAAACUUUGCAUUCAUUUGAUGGACUAUAUAUAGUUGCCUUAGGGCCUAAGGAUGAUUAUGAACCUUUGUUUAGAUUCAACACGAGCCUUGUGUUGAAUCUCGGUCUAGGAAUGAAGAUUGAUUUUAGUUACGCGUUUAAUCACAUUAAGGCGUGUUGUCUUAGGGGCGUUGAACCCAACUACUUCAUUUUCAUGCAUAUCAAAUAAAGCAAGAAAGAAGUACUUCAAAGUAAAGGUGAGCUUAUGCUCAUUACAACAUUUGCAUAAUACAAAUUACUUUAAAGUAAAGAAGAGCUUAAGCCCUUUUACAACAUUUGAUCAAAUCAAAUUACAACCAAAAUCUAAUCUACACAUUCCCAUGGUUCAAACAAAUUUGAAACGCAUUUCACAUAGCUCAAUUAUAUUAGGCUUAGGUUCAUAAUCACCCUUUAAUUAAUUAACACUUUAACUAAUUAAAUGAAUGCAACAUUUUCAUUUGGUUUUUGUAUCCAUAAGAUUGAUUUAAAUGGAGCUAAAACAAAAUGAAAAUCCAAUUCUCAUUUAAAGAGACAAAACAAUUUUGUUUCUCAUCCUAUUUGGGCCAUCUUGCAAUUAACCUCAACUUUUGGGCCAUAUUGCAAAUACAAAAACUUUUGGGGUCACUUUGUAUAAUAUACACAAAAGUCACUACUUCAUGUAAAUACAACUAGAACCCAAACUUUUAAUAAUGCAAAAACUUCAUUAAAGGAACAAAACAAUUUGUCCUUUAGCGUUUUUGGACCUAAACGUAAAAACGUAAACUUUUGGGCCAAAGUGCAAAUACACAAAAGUAUCAAAACUUUAUGUAAUUGCAUAAAAGCCCCAAAAGUACUCCCUUUGAGGGAGUGGCCUGUUUUAGGGGAAGAUAACAUUGGUGUGUGUGUUGAUUUGUGAGUUUUGUCAAAAGCAUGCAAGUGUAUGUGAAAGGAUAUGUUUAUGAAAUAAUUCAAUCACAAUUAUUUCAAUCAUCAUUUAUACAAAUAUCUAAUACUUUAAAUACAUGAUAAAACAUUUAAAAACAUAUCACAUAUACUUUAUGAAAUAAAUCAAAACUUUGAAUCAAAACACCAAACCUUUCAUCAAGAACAAUGAAGAACAUCCAUGAAAAACCCAAAUUUUUCCAUGAACCUUUUUCACCCAAAAACAUUCCAAAACCAUUCUUACUUAAGGGAAAUAACAUCUAACCAAACUAGGGUACUUAGGGGUUCCAAAGAACACAUUAAAACACUUUUAACAAGUCAAACAAGAACCCAAAAAUUCACCCUUUGAUUUUGGCCGAAUUUUCCCAAAAGCAUGGCACCAAAUUUUAGCUCCAAUAUUCAUGCUCAUAUGAACAACAUCUACAACAUUUGAGAUAGCAAAUUUUCCAACAAAAUUUACUUUCAAAGAAGCAAGAAUAAAGCUUGUAACAAUUACAACUUUUAGAUCACAAACUUAUGAACUACAAAACACAAAAGGAUUCACCAACUACUAGACCUAGGCUCUGAUACCACUUGAAGGAAUUAUUUUGAAAAAACAUGUUCAUUUGAGCAACAUCAUAUAGCAUGCAAUUUAACAAUUAAAGGCGGAAUCAUGCUUGUAUGUACUCAAAAACAAAACAUGACCAUGAAAUUCAAAGCCUAGUAGAUUGGUGAACCAACUCAAAAACAAAGUGAGUUGAUAAAUUUACCUUUGUAGAUUCCUCUUUGCAUAAGCAAAGGCUAAUCACCCAAAGAGAUAGGGGCCUUCAUUCCUUGCUUCUUAGAUCCAUGGAUUUGGAUGGAAGAAUAGGUUCUCCAAGUUCCCAAAAUUGAGAACCUCUAAUUCUCGACACCAAGGUUCGAUUGUAGAAGAAAUGAGUGACCUUGGAGUAGUAGGAUUGCUAGAUGUACCCUCCAAGGUGUUGGCCUAUUUAGAGAGAAAAUAGAGAGACAAUUCUCACCAAUUUUCCCCCAAAAUAAACCCUUAAUAUUUCCUUAAUGAAUUUUAGUUAUAAAGUCAUUUAUAUAGUCACUUCUUUAAGUGACCUAAACAACCAAAACCCUAAUUCAUUUCAUCAUGGCUGGCCAAUUAGGGAUGUUUGGGCUUUUGGGCUUUAAUGAAUCUUUAUUCAUUAAAUUGUCAUACAACUUAAGUUAAUGGGCUUGACGUUCGAAGCUCAUUGGGCCUUAAGGUCCAAAACUAUCCCGAAGUCUUUAACGAACUUUUUCGUUUGAUUAAUU